UUUCUCUGCCUCUGUGGUGGAUAGUGGAGUGUUUCCCAUGUGGUAUUGGUGUGCUGGAUAUCCCUUCACUGGUAGCCUGGUAACAUACACUCCCAGGUCUUUCUCUGCCUCUGUGGUGGAUAGUGGAGUGUUUUCCAUGUGGUAUUGGUGUGCUGGAUAUCCCUUCACUGGUAGCCUGGUAACAUACACUCCCAGGUCUUUCUCUGCCUCUGUGGUGGAUAGUGGAGUGUUUCCCAUGUGGUAUUGGUGUGCUGGAUAUCCCUUCACUGGUAGCCUGGUAACAUACACUCCCAGGUCUUUCUGCCUCUGUGGUGGAUAGUGGAGUGUUUCCCAUGUGGUAUUGGUGUGCUGGAUAUCCCUUCACUGGUAGCCUGGUAACAUACACUCCCAGGUCUUUCUCUGCCUCUGUGGUGGAUAGUGGAGUGUUUCCCAUGUGGUAUUGGUGUGCUGGAUAUACCUUCACUGGUAGCCUGGUAACAUACACUCCCAGGUCUUUCUC